CAAAGAGUAGUUUAAUUCAGAAUACUGGCUUUGGGUGCGAGUGGUCGGGGUGUGAGUCCCCUCUCUUUGA
rnacentral:tRNA from 1 species